GAUGAACGCUGGCGGCGUGCCUAAUACAUGCAAGUCGAACGAAACUUCUUUAUCACCGAGUGCUUGCACUCACCGAUAAAGAGUUGAGUGGCGAACGGGUGAGUAACACGUGGGCAACCUGCCCAAAAGAGGGGGAUAACACUUGGAAACAGGUGCUAAUACCGCAUAACCAUAGUUACCGCAUGGUAACUAUGUAAAAGGUGGCAAUACUACCGCUUUUGGAUGGGCCCGCGGCGCAUUAGCUAGUUGGUAGGGUAAAGGCUUACCAAGGCAAUGAUGCGUAGCCGAAUUGAGAGGUUGAUCGGCCACAUUGGGACUGAGACACGGCCCAAACUCCUACGGGAGGCAGCAGUAGGGAAUCUUCCACAAUGGGCGAAAGCCUGAUGGAGCAACGCCGCGUGGGUGAAGAAGGUCUUCGGAUCGUAAAACCCUGUUGUUAGAGAAGAAAGUGCGUGAGAGUAACUGUUCACGUUUCGACGGUAUCUAACCAGAAAGCCACUGCUAACUACGUG
rnacentral:rRNA from 1 species